rnacentral:misc_RNA from 1 species
GAUGAAAAACGCAGCGAAAUGCGAUAAGUAAUGUGAAUUGCAGAAUUCAGUGAAUCAUCGAAUCUUUGAACGCACAUUGCGCCCGCCAGUAUUCUGGCGGGCAUGCCUGUUCGAGCGUCAUUACAACCCUCAGGCCCCCGGGCCUGGCGUUGGGGAUCGGCGGGGCCCCCCGUGGGCACACGCCGUCCCCCAAAUACAGUGGCGGUCCCGCCGCAGCUUCCAUCGCGUAGUAGCUAACACCUCGCGACUGGAGAGCGGCGCGGCCACGCCGUAAAACACCCAACUCUUCUGAAGUUGACCUCGAAUCAGGUAGGAAUACCCGCUGAACUUAAGCAUAUCAAUAAGCGGAGGA